AUAAAUAUUAUAACAUUUAGUAAAUAAGGUGAAUUGUAUUAGUCUUUUAGCUUUGGAACGAAAGCAAGCCAAUCAUAUCCGCGGCAAACAAUCGCGCUGCUACUCAAAAGCAAUCGUUCAACUUAGUCAAAGAUUUUUUUUCAAUUUUUGAAGUGACGAAGACAAAAUACAAUAAAAAAAAUUGUAGAAUAAACUUUUUUGUGCAAAAAUUCAAACAGGUUGAAGCAAAGGCAGGAAACAAUGUUGGUUUUUACUGUAAUUUGUACAUUGCUUAAAAUGAAAGAGCAAAACAAUGAAUAUUUAGAUUACUUUAGUGACAAUGAAAUGAUCGAAGUGUCAAUGAAAAUAUUCAACGCCAAUUGUGUUGAUUACACAUAAUUAUUAAAUUUCUUAAAUUAAGAAAUGAAGUUUAUUCACAAAAUGUCGAUCCAGGCAAAGUACCAUGUGGAAAAAUAUGGACAUUAUUGUCGAUCUCAAUAUUUCUAACUAUUCCCGGCACCGGUAAACAUAAGUCUACCAUAGAUGAACUCUUUGAUGUUUGUUCAUUAUUACUGGCAUGAAAAAAAAUUCGGGAUUUAAUUUUGCCUGACACCGGACACCUGACACGAUUUUGAUUAAGAGGUUUGAAAGAGAAAAAUUGAGAAAUAUUUCUCGGUCAUUUUGUUAAGCAGCCUAUUUAAUAUUGAUUUCAUUAAAAAAAUUGACUUCUUCAAUAUUCCGUUACUAUCAAUUUCAAUUAAUAUACAGGGGUCGUACAAUUUUAUUGAAAUUUCUUAUAUUUGUGAUAUGUUAAAAGUAAAAUUGUAAGUUAAAUGUCACUAUGAAUAGAGAAUAAUACGAGUGAUCAAUAAGAGACAAUAUUCAUUCAAUAAAUUUUCACAUGAUUCAUCAUAUAAUACACAUAUGUAUAUGUUUGGAGCGAAUUUAAUUUAAACGAUAAUUCAUUCAUUGUAAUUUAUUAUUAUAACACAAUAAAAGUAAAGUGCCAAAAUCAAGCGUUCUUUGUUGCUUUUUUUCAAACGAAGAUUUCAGAUUUAAUUUUAAUAAUCAUGUGUAGGUCAUUGUAUUUUGCAUUGCAGAACCAUGGAUUUAUUCGAUAUUCUUAAGACAAGAUAGAAUUUUUUACACAAAAAAAUUUAGUGGCGUACGUGAUACGCGGCAGAAUUUUUCAGCGCCGAUAUUCAGAUCAAUAUAAUUAAUCAUGAUUGCCAACGGGACUUAUAAUACAACAACUUAUUGGCAACUGAUAACGACACAAAGAAGUGGCAAAAGUUGUGAAACUGGAAAAUGAUACACGCAACUUGAAAAACGACUCAACUUAAAACAGAACACUACUCCUCAAGAGAGUUUAUUUACGCGGCCUGCAUGUACCCAUUUUAAUUUUGAUAAUUCAUAAUAUAAAUAUAAAUAUAUUCUAUCAUGGAACUCUUGAAAUUGAUAUACAGUUAUUUAGCUUCCGAAAUCGUUCCAAUUUCACAAUUUAAGUUUUUGCUAAAUAUGAAAUAUUGCCAAUUAUUGAGGCAGUGGCUUUAAUUAAUAAUUAAUACAUCGUUUCGGUGGCAUUUAUAUAGGGAAAAAACUUAACCAAAGAUUAAUCUAUACGAUAACGAGCAUCUUCAUUUCAUGUAAACCAGUUUACUUUGUCAUACGUUUCGUGAGAACGUAUGUGUGCGCUUGAAAAAUAUAUAAUACGUAUAUGGGCUGUUUCUGUUUCAUUUUGAGUAUAGUUUUUUUUAUUUCUUAGUGACACAUUUUCUCAAAGCUUCGAUUUUGUUUCACUUCAUUUCUGAACAGCUGACUGUUUUUGAAAUGCCAAGCAAGAAAAAACAAGUAAUCUAUUCAUGUUGCUAUUAAUAUGAUAUCAACGAAUCGAUUUUCACAGGUAGAACAAAAAUAAGUUUGGAUUUUUUCUUAGUGUUUCAUGUGAACCUAGAUUUCAAACCAUAAGAACUUUUAAUGUAACAUUAUUACUUGACAAUUUCGACGCUACGUUGCUGAACAGCUGACUCUAUUCAAAAUGUCAAAAAAGAGAAUGCGGCCAUUCAGUUUGUCUUGCUAAGAUAUCAACAACUUGAUUGACAUAGUGUAUGGUAGAGUAAAAUAUGGAUAUUUGCUUUUGGAUAACCGAUCGUUCGUAAAUUUCAUCAUUCGGCAAAGCUCAAACGUGACAGAACACAAGUGAGAGCGAAUUUGCGUAAAUAAUUCACAAUGAGGAAGUCCGAAAAUUCAGCAUUGUCACUGAAGACAAAAACAUUGCCACAACUAUUUGUUUUCUUUUAUUAAUUUGCAGAAAAUUGCAACUAUUCUGCUACUGAAGAAUACUAUGAAAAAGUGUACCAAACGAAUCUCAUCCCAAGAAAAGAAGAUGGACUUAAGCAAGCAAUUUCCCGACAAAAGGUGCCAUUGGAAUCAAAUUUUUGAAUUAAAAUAGUCAAUAAUAUAUUUGUCUGUGCGGAAACAAAGCGCCAGACUCAUAAGAAAUUCAUGCAGCUACUAUCAUGAAAUAGGAACGGUCUUGAAAAUAAAUGGUCUGACUCUUAGGUCAUAUUCUGUAAUAAUAAACAAACGUUUAUGAAAUUUUCUCUCCAUCAAUUGUUAGAGUCACCACCGCAUUAAAAUACUACGAUGGAAUAAAUGCAUCGACAAGUUAGUCAAACUGUAUGAAUCGACGAAAACGAUCUAGAAAAAAAACCGACAUUUCGAAGAAUUAUCAGUCUUUUUGAAUAAUUUGGACGAUUUGAUGCGAGAACCCGAAGUCAUCAUAUCAAAUGUGUCAAAAUCUACAUGAUUAUAAAACGUUACGCUGAGAAGUCAACGGUUCAUGUCAUUUAGGAGAAUUUACGAAGAUAUUAAAGACGUAGCGCAUCCAAAUCAAGGAAAUGUAGGCUCUUGAAAUUAUGUGAAAUGUAGGCCACGAUGCUAAAGUCCAGAAUAUUAAAAUCUGUAAUCUGCAAAAGCAGUGUUCGAGCCUAACUAGAGCCAUUGAUUGAACUUUUUAAUUUUUCGAAUACUUAUGAAAAAAAUUCAAAAAAGGUACUUUUAUAUGGGGUUUUCGCCUAUGUUGUUAUUUUUUUCUCGAAAAAACGGAGGUUUUGUAACAACGGAAAAAACACAUUUACCACAUUUUGAAAGAUAGGGUUCAUGGUUCAUUAACCCGAAGAACAAAUAUGUUCCGUUCUGAAUAGUCCUAACUUUUCUUUAAAGUAAUGGAAAAUGAUUUCAAAAACAGCACAACAACAAUGUUUAAGUAGCUUUCAGUCCAUGAAUAUAAUUUAUAUUUAUUUUUUGAUUUGUGAACUAGAUUAAUUGCUUCUGUGUGAUUUUUUUCAUUUUUAUAUUUAUAUCAUGUCAAGUUUUUGUUACUACCCAUUUUGCGCAUAAAAACACUUUUUGUGGCAUUUUAGAAUUUUUAAUUUUUCUCAUUUCAAAUUUCCAAAAGCUGUGGUAUACGGUGACCAAUUUCUAGUUGGUUUUUCAAGGAUAUAUAUGUUUCAACGAUACCGCACCCUAUUUAGUGCAAAAUAUGUCAUUUCUCUUUUUUUCACUCGAAUCGUUUGACUAAUACCUUAAUGUUUUAUAUUCCUUCAGCUCGAACUAUUCGACAAUUCGACAAUUCGACAAUCAAUUUUCGAAACAAUAAAUUGCACUACUUUUUACUUUCAUAACUUAUUUGAAUUUAUUUUCAUUCCGACAUUAUUAAAGUCAAUUAUUUCAUAAAAUUAUUUUAAAAUAGAUUCGAUGCGAUGGCCUCAAACUUUUUAAUCAACAAUGUAUACACACAAAAUGGUUUUCGUUCACGUAUCUCUCUUGGCAUACACAAUAUUUUUGGUACAGAUUCUUUCACACGAUUAACCUACUUUUCAUGUAUUCGCGAAUGCACCAUCAUACACUGUUAGCACACAAGGAAUUUUGAUAGUUUCAUGCGAACGUCGAUUUUAGAAGCAAUUUAAAGGCCAAUCAGGUCCAUAUCCAUUUCGAUGAUAGUUUAUUGAAUCCCACAGAAAAUAUGUAUGCGGUGUUGGUCAAAUUUCAACGUUCUGAGCUAACAAAUUCUUUUUAAUAUCUCCUACUACCUUUUUGCAAAUUUUCGAACAUCAUUUUAUGUGUACAUAAGCAAUGUUUACAUCAUCUAUAGCAAAAGCGAGUAGAGGACGAAUAUAACCACAGUCAGCGUAUUACGAUAUGUCCGUCUCUCAUCAUCUCGUAUCUUACAUUUGUACCAAACGAACAAAUCCAUUUGUGCGCAUUGAAUUUUUCCAUGCUGUUCGACUUUUGGUAUUUUGCAAGCUAUUUUGUGAAAAAGUACGAGAGUGAGUGAAGAGAAAUGGAUAUUUCAAUGCGCAUGUUUGUUUUUUGACAAAAGAAUUUCCAAUUUGGAAAUAGUAUAAUUUUCCAAUUCCAUCAAACUGGAAUAUGUGAGUUUAAAAACGUUAAUAAUACUGUUUGAAAUUGUUUUUUAUUUAUUUUUAUCUUCAUUAAAGAAACAAAAACUACCACAUUUUAUAUAUUUUAUAGUAUAAAUGGUAUUUAGCUUUUAAUUUAUGAAAUGGUUUUUUUAAUUGCAUUUUUUAUUUUUUUUGUUUGUUGUCUUAUCUGCAUCGGAAUCAUUUUCAGUAUGCAUCGGCUUAAUAUUGAGAAAGAUUUGCUUUAUUUUAAAUUAUUUUUUGAAAAGGAAAGAAAAGAACAGCGAUUCGAAUUCAUGUUGCCUUUAUCUUUUUGGGGUAUGAAGUCCUCUUACUAUGAUGAUUUUAGAUAUUUAAUACCCGACAUUCACUUAGUUGUAAAGAUCAUCAUCUCCAUCGGCUUGUCGAUCUGCUUGACCACUGUUACCAGAGUUCGAAUUCCCUUGUGACGAACUGCCCGAAGGUGGAGCACCAGCAAUACCACCAGUUGGAAAACGGAAAUUCGUUCCGAAGCCACGAGAUUGUUGCAAGGUUUGAGCAAACAUUUCGUAUUUGCGGAUAUCGUUGUCACUGACAGACCGACGUGCAAAUUUCAUAGCUUCCUCGAAAUGUGCACGUGUGAUUUCUGGAACCGGAUCGUCUUCGUCCAUCUAUUAUUUAGCAAGAAGUCGUAAUUUAUUUAUAUGUGGCACGUUUUGAAUUAUUGACUGAAUUAAGGAUUUUGAAUCUACUCACAUCCAUAGCUGACUGUUGAUUUUCUGCCCGUUCGCGCUCUCGUUUGAUAUCAGCUUCAAUCGCAUGUCUGAUAGCCAAUUUACAUGCGCGUUGACAGAUUUCGGUUAAAUCUGCUCCGGAGAAGCCUUGUGUAACCUUUGCAAUGUAUGUUAAAUCAACUUCUUUGGCCAACGGACUCUUACGAAGAUUUGCCUUUAAGAUUGCUUCACGCGAUUUUUCAUCAGGCAAUGGAAUAUAAAUAAGUUGAUCCAAACGUCCUGGACGCAAGAUUGCCGAAUCGAUAAUGUCUGAAAAUGAAAGAAUAGAAACAUAUUGAAGUAAAUAAAAGUCAAAAAAGCCAAAAAAAACUAUUUUUUUUUGCAAAAAUGCUACAGCCAAUUUGUGGGAGCAAAUAAAUAACUAAAUAAUUCGUACCCGGUCGAUUCGUGGCUCCGAUAAUGAACACAUUUUUCUUUGCGCCCAUGCCAUCCAUUUCAGUUAAAAUCUGAUUGAUCACACGAUCAGCAGCACCGCCAGCAUCACCAACAUUUCCACCUCGUGAUUUAGCAAUGCUAUCCAAUUCGUCGAAGAAUAGUACACAUGGGGAUGCUGAUCGAGCCUUAUCGAAAAUGUCCCGCACAUUAGCUUCAGAUUCACCAAACCACAUGGUCAGCAAUUCGGGUCCCUUAACCGAAAUGAAAUUUGCUUGGCAUUCGUUUGCAAUUGCCUUAGCUAACAAUGUUUUACCACAACCUAAUGAAACGCAAAAGAAUUAAUUUUGAAAUUAAAUUUUAAAUUACAUCAUAAUAUAAUCUUUUACCUGGUGGCCCAUAGAAUAAGACGCCGCGUGAUGGCUGCAUGCCAAAUUUCAAGAACUUAUCUGGAUGCUCAACUGGAUAUUGAACCAGUUCUUGCAAUUCUUUUUUGACACUUUCCAAGCCACCAAUGUCAGUCCAACUUACAUUAGGCACCUCAACAACCGUUUCUCGCAAUGCUGAUGGCGAGGACUUUGUCAUUGCGUAACGGAAGUUAUCCAUAGUAACAGCCAAUGAAUUUAAUACCUCGGCAUCAAUUUGAUCGUCUUCAAGAUCAAUUAAAUCCAUUUUUUCACGAAUUUGCUGUAAAGCUGCUUCUGAACAAAGUGAUGCCAAAUCAGCUCCAACAUGGCCAUGUGAUUCAGCUGCGAUUUGUUCUAAAUCGACGUCAUCGGCUAAGCGCAUGUUUUUCGAAUGGAUUCUUAGCACCUCCAAUCGGCCAGUGGCAUCUGGUAUACCAAUGUCAAUUUCGCGGUCGAACCGUCCAAAGCGACGAAGUGCUGGAUCAAUUGAAUUUGGUCGAUUUGUUGCUGCCAUAACAAUGACGUGUGAGCUCUUCUUCAUUCCGUCCAUCAAAGUUAAUAGUUGCGACACAAUACGACGCUCCACUUCUCCGUGUGUCUUUUCACGUUUUGGUGCUAUAGCAUCUAGUUCAUCGAUGAAAAUAAUAGCCGGUGAAUUUUUUUCGGCUUCCUCGAAAGCUUUCCGUAAAUUCGAUUCAGAUUCACCAGCCAAUUUGGACAUGAUUUCAGGACCAUUGAUCAAAAAGAAAAAUGCGCCGGUUUCAUUAGCCACGGCACGAGCAAUCAAUGUUUUACCUGAAAAAUGAAUAGAUAGAAAUAAAUUGUGGACUAUGUUAAAGGAUUCAAAGGCAAUUAAUGAUAGAAUUUUGAUGAAAGUAAAUACCAAGUACCUGUUCCUGGUGGACCGUACAUUAAAAUUCCACGUGGUGGUUUCACACCGAUCGCCUUAAACAGCGAAGGAUGUCUCAGUGGAAGUUCAACCAUUUCUUUGAUCUGAGCCAAUUGUUUACGACAACCACCAAUGUCAUCGUAGCCUACUGCAUUCAAAGCUUCUUCUUCCUCUUCACGUUUGAUUGGAUCGCCUUCGCAAUGUAAAACUGUUUCCGGGGCUACAAUACAAUAUGGUGAUGGAUCAGUACCUACCACCUUAAAUUCGACGGCUCGCAUUCCACCGCGCACUAAGAAAGUAUCAUCUUUGUGAAUGGGACGAUAUGCUUCAAGGAAGUAGGGUUUCAAAUACACCUCAAACACAUUCCUAAUUCAAAUAAUAUAAUAGCUUAUUUGGGAACGUUCGCUAAAUUUAUUCAAAUCUAUACUAACCCAGUUAAACCUUCGACAGUGUCAUCGAUAGGCAAAAUGUGCACUCGACUGCCAUAUUUGACAUCUGGACAUGAUUGAAUCGAAACAACAUCACCCAGACGAACGCGUAAAUUGUUACGCACGACGCGAUUCAUACGAAUCUUCUCAUCCGGACAGUUGUCGUCGGAAAGAACAAUACAAACGGUUUCCUUGCGCCGUUUUCCCUUCAGUAGAACAGUAUCGCCUCGGAACAAACGGAGCUCAUCCAUUUUCGCCUGUGACAAUGAUACCACUGAAUUGUCAUCAUUAACUGCUUCCUCAACCAAUAAACGGUUUGGGCGAUCUUUACGCUUCAAAAUUGCGGUUGCCAAAUCAUCACUGUGAAAAUGCAAUCAAAAUGAAACAAAUAAAUACACAUAAAAGCGAUGUAAUUUUUUUCAGAAGAGAAUAGAAAAAAAAACAGAUCAGAUAAGGAAGCUUGACUUAUUUAACCUCACAUUUUAUGCAUGACCGACAAAAUUCAUUAAAAACAUGAUAUAACAUAAAAUAUUUUAGACAAUAAAAAGAAAAAGUGCGAGAUAAGUUCAAUAGUUUAUCUUUGACUUUUGUAACACUUUUUGUCGUUGUAAUAUAGUUAAAUUUCGAUAAGAAGACUUUUUACACAGGAAAAUAUUUUGUGUAUAACAAUCACAAGCAAAAAAUUGUUGAACGAAAAAGUUCAGAUUUAUUUGUCUAAAGCCGUCGUAGGAGUUCUUUUACCGGUUUCAAUAAAUGUUUGUGUAAUUUAAUUCAAUUCUGUAUUUAGGAAAGGAUGCUGCUUUUUGUUUGGUUUUGUUUAAUAUACCUCUUAUGAUCAACCAUAUUUGUUAAAGUUUUUGUUCGAAAUUUAAUGAGAAAAAAAUCGAAUGAAUGAGAACUUGUAAAUAUGUUGUUUCAAAUGAAAAAGCAAAACUUUAGUGAAAUCGAAUGAUGAUGACCUGAACUAACUAACAAUGUACACUCAGCAAAGCUAAAAGUGGAGUUAUUCCGGCCUUUAUUGUCAGAUGACAAAACAUUCAGAACAUGUACUAAAAUGAUUCAGCAAUCGGCAGCGACAAUAUUAUGCCAUUACUUUUCAAAUGAUGCAGCUUUACACAAACUAUUUCAUCCAUAAAUUUCAAAAGGAAACUUUUCCACAUAAUGGAAAAUGGAAUUCGAUCUAUAUAAUAAUUACUAUUUAUAUUUCAUUUGUGGAUAAAAUAUUUUUAAAAAAAUUAUGGGCAAUAUGCAACAAAGCAUUUUUUGUAUAAAUAAUUAUUUCAACACCAUUGUUGCGUUUCAAAUUGCGUUUGUAUCGGGGAUUAGAACAAAUCAACUAAAAUCUCUCUACUCAUUACCCUUUAUGAUCAGCCAUUUUCGUCUCAAAGAUUAUCUUAAAUUGUAGAUGACUUUAAUGAAAAAUUAUGUUUUAAUAUUUAUUUAAUUUUAUUUUUUAUGUUUGAUGGAUAUUUCAAAUGAAACUUUAUUCGAAAAGGAGUUUAUAAUUUAUACACUGUAUUUCAAUAAAAAUUAUAUCGCUAAAUAACGAACUGCAAAUAUAUCCAAUAAACUUGUCUUCGGAACUGAACUGUAAUGAACGCUCAACGAUGACAAUCCAAAAUUCAUAUUCUCAUGAAUGACAUUUAGUAUGAUAGCCUUUGGUAUUGCCGUAUUGAACUAACACGUAGUCACUCUACUGGCGGUGUACUAAAGUAAUGGCCGGUUUACAAUUUGUGGUUAGCUGAAAACUUUCCAAAAAAAUACGUGCAUAGUAUAAGAUAUUACUAGAUUAAUUGCUUCUGUGGAAUUUAUUUCAUCUUCAUAUCAUGUCAAAUUUUUAGUAUUACCCGUUUUCUGCAUUUAUUUAUUUAUGUGAAAAAUAAAAUAAGUAAUACCAAAUUUACUUAUUUUACAAAGAAAAGUAGGUACUAUUUUAGGACCAAACAUAGAUUGUAUAAAAACACUUUUUACGAAAAAGAAAUAUUUUAAAAGCUUUAAUUUUUCUUUAUUUAAAAUUAACAAAUAUUUUGAGACAUAAUAACUAAUUUUAUAUGAUUUUUUUACAAAUGAUAAUAACAAAAAAAUGAUCACAUUAUUUUAAUCUAGUCUUUUAGUCUUUUCAGGUAACUGUAGCUCUCGAUGCUCUUGCCACUUUUUUAUUGCUCCUCGCUUAUUUUUACAGUUUGCAUAGUAUUUUUGGUGUUUCUAGGGCCCAAACGCUUUUCACUUCUUUAUUUGCCACUAAGUUUUGUAAGUGUCUUUCAUCUGGAGAUAUAGAAAAUGGAAAUUCAGUUUAUCAAUAAUACUAAUCAGAAAUAUCAAAAUAUCUUAUUCAUCAAUAAAAAUAUACAUACCCUUUGAUUUUCCAUAUUGUUGGAGAAUUGGAAAAAUUUCAUAAACUGGUACUGACAUAUUAAUGUUAGGAUAAAUCAGCUGAUAAGCAUCAUCUUUUGAAUUCGAUACGGUGAUACCGAUCAAAUGACCAUCAUCUGUGAACAUUGGCCCACUGUGAACAUUAUUUAAAUAAAAAUAAACCAAUUUUAUAUUAUUGUAUAAA